rnacentral:rRNA from 1 species
CUUAUAUCUGAAAACCAGAGUGCUUUCAUUCCAGGAAGGCUUAUAUCUGACAACUCUAUCAUUGCAUUCGAAUGUAUUCACCAUAUUCAGUCAAUCAAGAGUAACUCACCAGCUUUAUGUGCCUACAAUUUGAAUUUAUCAAAGGCCUAUGAUCGUGUUGAUUGGGAUUUCUUGGAGAGGGCACUGGUCAAAUGGGGCUUCUCUCAGCAUUGGAUUUCUCGCAUGAUGGCUUGUGUUACUUCGGUGAAAUAUUCAGUAAAGUUUAAUGGGAAAUUGUUGGACCCCUUCUCCCCUUCCAGGGGGCUCUGUCAAGGUGAUCCGUUAUCCCCCUUUCUU